rnacentral:rRNA from 1 species
GACGAACGCUGGCGGCGCGCUUAACACAUGCAAGUCGAGCGAAGCGGCGGACGGGUGAGUAACACGUGAGUAACCUGCUUAAGACAUUGGGAUAGGCUCGGGAAAGCGGGAUUAAUACCAAACGGUCGAAGAUGGACUCGCGUCCCAUUAGCUAGUUGGUGAGGGAACGGCCCACCAAGGCGACGAUGGGUAGCCGGCCUGGGCAGGUGAACGGCCACAUUGGAACUGAUAAACGGUCCAGACUCUACGAGAGUCAGCAGUGGGGAAUAGUGCGCAAUGGAGGGACCUCUAAUGCAUCGACGCCUCGUGAACGAAAAACGCUUUCGAGUCUUAAAGUUCUUUUAUAUUUUAAGCGGUACCGGAAGAAAAAACCCCGGCUAACUACGUGCCAGCAGCCGCGGUAAUUC